GUGGGGAAUAUUGGACAAUGGGCGCAAGCCUGAUCCAGCCAUGCCGCGUGAGUGAUGAAGGCCCUAGGGUUGUAAAGCUCUUUCACCGGUGAAGAUAAUGACGGUAACCGGAGAAGAAGCCCCGGCUAACUUCGUGCCAGCAGCCGCGGUAAUACGAAGGGGGCUAGCGUUGUUCGGAAUUACUGGGAGUAAAGCGCACGUAGGCGGACAUUUAAGUCAGGGGUGAAAUCCCAGAGCUCAACUCUGGAACUGCCUUUGAUACUGGGUGUCUUGAGUAUGGAAGAGGUAAGUGGAAUUCCGAGUGUAGAGGUGAAAUUCGUAGAUAUUCGGAGGAACACCAGUGGCGAAGGCGGCUUACUGGUCCAUUACUGACGCUGAGGUGCGAAAGCGUGGGGAGCAAACAGGAUUAGAAACCCCGGUAGUCC
rnacentral:rRNA from 1 species